rnacentral:rRNA from 1 species
AUUGAACGCUGGCGGCAUGCUUUACACAUGCAAGUCGAACGGUAACAGGCCGCAAGGUGCUGACGAGUGGCGAACGGGUGAGUAAUGCAUCGGAACGUGCCCAGUCGUGGGGGAUAACGCAGCGAAAGCUGUGCUAAUACCGCAUACGAUCUAUGGAUGAAAGCGGGGGACCGUAAGGCCUCGCGCGAUUGGAGCGGCCGAUGUCAGAUUAGGUAGUUGGUGGGGUAAAGGCUCACCAAGCCAACGAUCUGUAGCUGGUCUGAGAGGACGACCAGCCACACUGGGACUGAGACACGGCCCAGACUCCUACGGGAGGCAGCAGUGGGGAAUUUUGGACAACGGGCGCAAGCCUGAUCCAGCAAUGCCGCGUGCAGGAAGAAGGCCUUCGGGUUGUAAACUGCUUUUGUACGGAACGAAACGGUCUGGGUUAAUACCCUGGGCUAAUGACGGUACCGUAAGAAUGAGCACCGGCUAACUACGUGCCAGCAGCCGCCGUAA